UGGGGAAUAUUGCACAAUGGGCGCAAGCCUGAUGCAGCCAUGCCGCGUGUGUGAAGAAGGCCUUCGGGUUGUAAAGCACUUUCAGCGGGGAGGAAGGCGAUAAGGUUAAUAACCUUGUCGAUUGACGUUACCCGCAGAAGAAGCACCGGCUAACUCCGUGCCAGCAGCCGCGGUAAUACGGAGGGUGCAAGCGUUAAUCGGAAUUACUGGGCGUAA
rnacentral:rRNA from 1 species